rnacentral:rRNA from 1 species
CAAUAGCGUAUAUUAAAGUUGUUGCAGUUAAAACGUUCGUAGUCGAACUUUUUCUCUACUCUAAAAUGUCUAGCAUUUAAGAUGCGGAUAAUUAGCGUAGUGAGGUGUGAGGACAGCGUGUUUCACGAGGUUCUUACGUGCUACUUUGAGUGAAUCGGUGUGCUCCAGGCAGACGUUUGUCUUGAACGAUUUACCAUGGAAUAGCGAGAUUAUAAGAGCAUUUUCUUGUUAGUUCGAAAAUGUUGUUGAAACGGAAAAGAACGGAUGGGGGGCAUUCGUAUUCAACUGCCAGAGGUGAAAUUCUUUGAUUAGUUGAGGACGAACUAUUGCGAAAGCAUCUGCCAAGGACGUUUCUGUUGA